UUAAAUGGCCGUGGUAUUUUGACCGUGCUAAGGUAGCAUAAUCAUUAGUUUUUUAAUUAAAAACUGGAAUGAAAGGUUGAAUAAGAAAAUAACUGUCUCUAUUAAAUUUAAUUAGAAUUUUAUUUUUAAGUUAAAAAGCUUAAUUAAUAUUAAAAGACGAGAAGACCCUAUAGAGUUUAAUUAUUAAAUAAAAAUUAUAUUUUAGUAUUUAUAUAUUUAAUUUGUUAAAUAAUUUAAUUGGGGUGAUUGAAAAAUUUAUUAAACUUUUUUUAUUUUUUUACAUUUAUUUAUGGUUAAAUGAUCCAUUAUUUUUGAUUAUAAGAUAAAAUUACCUUAGGGAUAACAGCGUAAUUUUUUUAGAGAGUU
rnacentral:rRNA from 1 species